GAUGAACGCUAGCGGGAGGCUUAAUACAUGCAAGUCGAACGGCAACAGGAUUAAUUUUCGGAUUGAUUGCUGGCGAGUGGCGCACGGGUGAGUAACGCGUACACAACCUACCUUACACAGGGGAAUAGCCUUUAGAAAUGAAGAAUAAUACCCCAUAGCAUAUAUUUAUCGCAUGAUGAAUAUAUUAAAGUUUUGGCGGUGUGAGAUGGGUGUGCGUUAGAUUAGCUAGUUGGUGAGGUAACUGCUCACCAAGGCGACGAUCUAUAGGGGGCGUGAGAGCGUGAUCCCCCACACGGGUACUGAGACACGGACCCGACUCCUACGGGAGGCAGCAGUAAGGAAUAUUGGACAAUGGGCGGCAGCCUGAUCCAGCCAUCCCGCGUGCAGGAAGACGGCCCUCUGGGUUGUAAACUGCUUUUGUAUAGGACGAAACGCUUUCUUUUAAGAGAGUCUGACGGUACUAUAAGAAUAAGCAUCGGCUAACUCCGUGCCAGCAGCCGCGGUAAUACGGAGGAUGCGAGCGUUAUCCGGAAUCACUGGGUUUAAAGGGUGCGUAGGCGGACUAAUAAGUCAGAGGUGAAAUCUUUGAGCUAAACUGAAAAAUUGCCUUUGAAACUGUUAGUCUUGAAAUAUGGUGAGGUUGGCGGAAUGUGACAUGUAGCGGUGAAAUGCAUAGAUAUGUCAUAGAACACCAAUUGCGAAGGCAGCUGACUGGCCAUUAUUUGACGCUGAGGCACGAAAGCGUGGGGAGCGAACAGGAUUAGAUACCCUGGUAGCCCACGCCCUAAACGAUGUUUACUCGAUGUUUGGACGCGAGUCUGGGCAUCCAAGGGAAACCGAUAAGUAAACCACCUGGGGAGUACGACCGCAAGGUUG
rnacentral:rRNA from 1 species